AAGAAUCUCAGCCCACCACAUACAUUUUUCAGAACAUAGUUCCUUAAUAGUUUGUAAAAAAAAAAAGGGAACAUCAUUUCUAAGACAGUCCCACAGUUCAUACUGGUAGCAGCCAUGUCGAUGUGUCAUGCCGGCGCUCCACAGGGUUCAUAGUUUAGGUGAACAGAGCAUGGAGACACUGAGGAGCCACUGAGGAGACAAGCUUUUUUCCUUUAGCAGAUCAGACAGGUCUGGCAGGGAGCAGUAAGACCACUGGAAAAUGCCAAUACAUUGAAUCCAACAAGCAUCUCAACCACAUUCUCCAGGCAUAAACAAUUCCAUGUGGCCUGCCUAUCCAUUCUGCUGUGUGGAAUUGCAUAAGCUCAUCAUUUUGUACCUUAUGGGAUU